rnacentral:rRNA from 1 species
GUCUACAGCCAUGCUACCCUGUACAAGCCCCAUCCUGUCUGAUCUCAGAAGCUAAGCAGGGUUGGGCCUGGUUAGUACUUGGAUAGGAGACCACUAGGAAGACCAGGUACUGUAGGUG